AAACAUAAUACAACAUAAGUAUAUAUAUGGAUGUAUUACAUGUUUAAUUUUUAAAAAAUACUGUUAACAUUUAACACUUUAUAGUCUAAACAUACUUAACACCUCGUACAAUUUAACAACUUAUAUUCUGUGUUUAACAUCUUAUAAUCAAUGUACACUUUUAAUAUUUAACACCUUAUAGUCUAUAUUUAUCUCCUUAUAUUAUAUAAUUCAAACAUCAACCUUAAAUGAGAGAGAGAGAGAGA
rnacentral:misc_RNA from 1 species